AUCCCAUCAGCAACCAGACUCAACAUCUGGACAUCACUCAACUCUGUCACACAUGUGCAGAACACACUCCACUUUACACAGUGCUGAUCUCUGUUGGAUCUCUGCUGAUUGUGGCUGUAAUUUGGAUGUUUUGGAUCUGCAGGAAACGCAGAGAUGCAGGUCAGACCCGUAAAGACGAGACAAAUGUAACACUCAACAAAUACACUAGACAAAGGACGGACAAUAGUGGAGAAGGACUGCACCUUAUUCAGACCGAGACUCAGAUGGAUGAUGCUAUACUACUCUGAAAUGGCUUUUUUAGAACUUUACUGGCAAGACUAACACUGUGGGCAAUUUGGCUGGUUUUAAACUGCAAGUUAAGUGCAGUGCAUUUUCUUCUAAAUAAAUUUAGAUUUAUAUAUAUAUAAAGCAUGUAUCAUAAAGCAGUAUCUUCUUUUAAAAGAAAGCAUGACUAGGGCACAAAUUGCAAUCAUUUAAGUUUAAUUAGCUGUCAUUUUCCAGUGUAUGCUCAAAAAUGGGGAUGACAGGUUAGAGGCUAGUUUAUUGUUCUUUUAUGUUGAUUUGCUGUUUAAUUCUUGUGAUUCUUUUUUUUUUUUUUUUUACAGAUUUGUUAGUUGUUUAUGACUAUUUACUUUGUGUUUAUGUUAUUUUUUUAUCAGGAUUCACAUCAUAGUAAAUUACAGUUCAUAUAUGAAAGAUAACCCAGAUAGCAAACAAUGAUCGAAGCAACGUGAUAUCAAUGUCAAUGUGUCAACGUUAACCUCAUUGAGUCAGUAUCACUUUCGCACCCUCAAUUAAUGUUGAAAAAAAUUUUGAAAUUUCAACAAAAAAUCAAUGGCAAUGUCACUGAAUCAAUGUUUGCACUCUCAGAAAAUGAAACACAACUACAACUGACUUUAAAGCCACACAGCCUGAAAUCAACUGAAGAUAAAAGAAGACAAUAAAUCUCUCAAG